rnacentral:tRNA from 1 species
GCGGCCGUCGUCUAGUCUGGUAGGACUCGGCUGUACCAGCCCGUGAUCCCGGGUUCAAAUCCCGGCGGCCGCACCA